UGGGAACGACUGUAGAUCUCCCCAAAUUCAAAGAAACAGAUGUUUGGGCUGAUUAUGGAUGGGGGGAGGGGAGGAGGGAUCCCUGCAGCUGCAACUCAAAGAAAUAUAUUGAUAAAAUAUUUCAGUGGUAAUAAAUACGCAGAGAUCAGCUCGACCUUGCGAGGUCUUUAUUUUAAUUUUUUUCCCCAUAUACAAAAAUCUUUAUCAAACCUCUAUUCUAUGGCUUCAAUAAACAGAACCCAUUACCUCACGGCAGCUUUUGUUGGCCUGUAUACAAGCGAGAACAAAAUGGUUAUUCAGGAGAACGCUUUCGAUUUUUAUUGUGUGUAGUAUGCACAAAGAGCAGUGUUAUUGUAUUAAAAAGAACCAUCUGUAGCAGAAACAAUGGCAUCAAAUUAUCUUUGAAUACCCACUGCAAAAAUAUAAAGCUUUUUUAUUAUUCUUCUGCUGUACGGUGGGGGACAGAGAAGUGACUUUUUUGUUGUUGGACUGCAGUUAAGAGCUAGGGCUAGGACUUGGAGGAUGUGUAGGCAAACGGAAAGAGAGCUGGGGGAAGAAAAACCGAAAUGGAUUCAUUCUCUGUCCUGGAUGGAGGAGGAGAGGAGAAGAGAAGGGGACGUGCGAGCUUCCUUCAACUGCCUCUGUCCGGUGAAAAGUGCUCAGACCCCCGGGGCUGCGCCGGACUCCAGAGCCCGCGCGGACUUUCGCGUUGAGCUGCCAAUCAAACCGCUCGCAGCCACCACCCUGCUCUGGCACCGACAUGGUCUGUGUGAUGUCCUCCCAUGAGAGGCGACUCAGCAGCUCGGUCCCUCUGCCAUCUCAGCACUGCCACUGGAGAAGCCCAGGAGGAGCAGAGCAGGGGCUGAGCAGCAAUUUGAAUAUCCAUAUUUAACUCUUCAAACAACAGAAGAUACUUCAGAACCAUGUUAAGAAGGAUAAGCUUGGAGUGCCCAGUCACCGUGGUAACUGCCAGAAAAAUUCUCCUGAAGUUUGAAGAGGUCAGCUAACGGGGUCAACAACUCUGGCCUCUCUCUGAGCCGGGCCUGGCAGGCUCCAUCCUGCGGUUGGGGUGUUAACGCAGGCUGAGCCCUGGGAGGUGGACCAUUCCAGAUCUGAUAUAAAUUUUUUGAGUCAGUUCACGGCCUGGACUCUCCAGGUGGCCUCCAAAAUCGAUUGUGACCUUGUGACCCUGUCUAACGGAGGCAUAGCAUCCAACCUAAGUAAGGAUUUAGCCAGGAACGACAGCUUUCCACUGAGUGUUAUUGGGGACAGUACAAACAGUUUGGGAAGCAAGGAGGUAGGUAUGAGGAGUAGAGGUCAUUAAAAGCACAUUAAAAAACAAUUUUAAAAAUCCUUUUUAGUUGAAAGUUUUUAUUUGCAGUAACCAUUCCUUAAAUAAACCCUUCUGGCAACUAUUUUUUCCUUCCAUAAUAACAUUGCAUCAAGUGCUUCAGUGCAUUAAUACACAAAAAAUUGGCACUUUGCAUAUUCCAAACCAAACUAAUAUUUUAUCUACCUCUGGAUUUUGAACUUGCAAAUGAAGCUGGCUGACAUGUGUUAAACUAGAUGCCUGUGAAGUGUUUUUUUUCUAAAUAUCAUACAAACUAGGAGACUGCUUAUUAAAGUAGGCUAUUUACUUUAGGUAGCAAUUUCUGUAAUAUGUGCAUUCUUUUUAGAUUCAAAAGUCUCUUAAUCCCUGUAAUCUAUUUUUAAACUGGUAAAUUAGGUAACAUUAAGAAUAGUGUGAAAUGAAAGUGUGAGAGUUUCACAGAGUUUUCCUGUACUGGUCUGCAGUACAAGUAGAAAAGCUACAAAACUGAUUAUGUAUUUUUUGUAGGAAAAAAAUUGAUCAUGCUAUGAUGGUAUUCAUAGAGAACAUGAUUUUUUUUUUUCCUUUAAGAUUUUGAGCAACGAACUAUGUGGGGGAGGGAGGGGCUGUUGCAAAGUUCUUAUUUUGUUAUUGAAUUUAGAAACUUGCCUCUCUGAGCAAGUGGAUUGGCUCUUGUGUUUUAUCCCCCUGCUACAGAACCUCGUGCAUUGCUCACACGAGCAAUUGGUAGCUGUCAGAUGAGUAAGUGGAAAUACACGGAGGAGCAAAGUCCAGUUUCCAGCUGGAAAGUGCUAUCAGACUUUAAGUGACUUCAAAACUGCUCUGAAGGAAGAAAACAGCUUUAAUAUUUGUUCUCAGUCUUAGAAAAAUUGUGCAGUGAGACCCUUGCCCAAAUACUUCUUGCACUUGGCAGGGCCUGGCUCCGACAUUUUUCUUCCCAGUCCCUUCCCAGCUGAGCAGUUCCCCCGAGGUUGGAGGAGCUGCAGAGACAGGGCCAUAAAAUACAGUUCAGGAAGAGCAUCUGGGCAGUGAUGAACAUUACUGUACUGCUUAGAAGUCCCACAGGUUGCAACAGCAAGAAUAUCUAACUUUUACUUGCACUAACGCCUUAUUCUGCAGAAAGAGCCCCAAAAUCCAUGGAUUUUUGGCCAACGUCCUGACUUUUAUAGAGUCAUCAUAAUCUGCUCCGGUGGGAGCAGGUUUGAAGACCAGGAGUAAGAAAUGGGGCUGAAUUUUGCUAUAAAAUAAUUUAAGGCCUGCACCUGCACAUUCAGAUAUUUAUGGUGGCACUAUUUAAUUCUACCCGGAAUACUAAUAAUAGUUGGCUUUUGGUGGUCAUUUUUAAUAGACCUCUGCUGAAAAGAACUUUUUCCCAUUAGGAAGCAUGUUGAUUCAGGGCUUCUGUGAUUGAGCUUGGAAAGAUGAAACUUACAGCCCUUGGUGAGAAUCAGAAUAUUUGCUUGUUUUUCAGAAAAUUAAAAAUAGGACUGUAAAUAGCUGGAAGGUGAAUCUUCAAUAUUUUCAAAAGCAUCUGUGUAUUUUUCAACUUUUUUUUCAAAAUAUGUACUUACAUCUGUUUUGUAUUGCCAUCACUCAAGGACCAAGUUCUACUGACAGGAGAUAAUUUCUGAAAAUAGAUAGAACUAUUCCACUGGAACUUUUGGACCAGAAUUGCCCCAGAUUUGCUCUAAACAAUGAGGAAUUGUUAGCAGAGGCAACAACAAGGAGAUCUCAGGAACUUUAACUUGCUUCAAAUUCUUUAGCGUUGACUUCUGUAGAUCCCAUUGAAUAUAUAAUCAGCUGCAAAUCUACAAAUGUGACCCAUAAAAGGUUCUGGUCUUGCAUAUUUUGUACCUCUUCACAUUGUAUGGUUCAUGCACACCCAUUUGGAGUGCCUAGAGGUGCCUGUUAGCAGCAGCUGCAGUUGACAAUUCUUCUUCCCCAUCAGUGCAGUGAAGUCCUCACACAGCUUUCCAAAUUUGACUUUUUUGGAAACUCUCUGAAGUGCAGGCUCUUUGAGUUUCACCAGAGGGAUGUAUGUGAAUGGUCUUGGUGCUGUGUUAGAGAUAACCAGCAGAGCCACCAAAGCCUGUGGUGGUUCCCAGCCCCUGUCCUAUGGACACUGAUAACCCCUGAGGCCUUUGAAAGUUUGCUGUGGCUAUUACUAUUUAAUACAAUGGAAUUGUAUUAAAUAGUAGUGCCCAUAGUCUUCAAUUUAAAUUUGUAUUAGUGGAGUGAGUGGCAGUUUGCAAGAGAAUCUAAGGUCCGAGGGUAAUCUGCUACCUGAAAGCUCAGAGGAUGUUUGCUGUACAGGAAUAUGUCUCAGGUCAUGGGCCAUGAGAUGGUGGGAGGUAUCUUGUUAAUGUUUUCAAAUUAAACAUAUGCCCAGUUAAAUGAAUGUUUUUUAUUACUCAUGCAAACAAACAAAAACACAAAAUCCCCACUUCAAAAUAAAACAAAGAAAAUCAAAGUGAUAAAUGGACACUGAAGCUUCAUCCUAGUUUGUGUUUGCUUGUGUCCAAAGCCUGCACUGCCAGUGCUCUGCAGAGACAGAGAAGCUCAGCUUUAGAGAGCAGCACGUUGCCAUGGCCUGGAUCAGGGCUGGCAGAGGUCUCUGGGCUCUGGAGGAAGCAGGGAGGGCAAAUGAGCACUGGGACUUACAGGUGUGCUGGCAAAAGGUCCUAAACAAGUGCUGAGCUUCCGUCUCCUUUUUCUUCUUCCUCUCUGCCUUGAGAGUGUGUGGCUGGUGUCCAGAGGAAAAGUCAAACUAAUUCUGAUGCUUUUUCCUAUUCUGGGUGGACUAAUUCAGAGAAAGCACUUAAGGCAGCCUUUGUGGAAGGGUUACAAUAUAGGUUGAUACUUUAGGAACUAUAGGAAGUUCUUAAUCCUUCCCUGCCUACGGGGCUGUCAUUUAUAGACCCGCUAUUGUCUCAUCUUUUAUAAGGAUGUUUCCUUACAUUAAGGUUCCAAGAGCAACCAGACUUUGCCAUUGUUCCCAGCUAUUUCUGUUUGUGGCUUAAUGCACAUCUAGUAUUCUGUUUAUGCUUUCACUGCUCUCCUACACAGCAGACUGUACCUACACACCAGCUUAGGUGACAUCACUCUCAAAGCAUUCAUUUCUGGGUUUCUUUUUUUUUCUCCUGAUUUGUCUGUGCAUCUUGAUUUUGCAUUAGCCUAGUUUGCUAUAGAUAACAUGAUAAAGUGCAUGGAACUUUAUGCAUUUAGUUGUCAUUUUAUCUUCGUUUCUUGUUUGAUAAACUUGCUUAUAAAAAAAAGCUUUUAGGUGUGUUUUUUAUAACAACAGAACUCCUCUUACUAUGUAAGAAGAAUGAAUUCAGCCAUGAACAGAAAAAAUUGAAGCAUAGAUAAUUUUGAAUGUAUAAAAUUUAGCUCGAUGUUAAUGGUGGUUUAAUUACUGGAUUUUUUUUUUAGUAUGGCUAUUCAUAAAGACAUCCAUUGUUUUCUGGUUUGAUUUAUGUCCAGAUUAGCCCCCUUUCGAACCUCAUUUCUGGCAAUCUCAGCAGCACGUGAGGGCCUGGCAGCUUGUGCAGACAUUGCCAUCUUCCCUCACUGCUCCUUCUGAGCUGCUCCACCAGCCCCACAGCCUGCCAUUCCUCAGGAGCCCUUAAUGGUGCCUUUCCUCCAUCAUCUGCUCUGUGGCCUUCCAGAACCAGGUCCUUUUGUCAAAGUUUUCAAACCAAUUUAGAAACAGAUACUGAAAUAAAGGCCGGUGACGUGGUGGUGGGGUGACAUGGUGUCAUUGCCUUUCUGUCCUGCAUGGGAAAAUUACAGACUUUCUCCACAGCUCAGCUCUAUGGCCAUGCAAUGAGAAUGAUAAAAACAACAUCUUUGCAAAGUGCUUAUAUAUCUGAAAAAUUUGAUGCAAAUUAAAAGCUACCUAGGUUUUGUCAAACCUAACUCUACCCAGCACUUCACUUUCUCCACUGCCCUCUCAGCUGCUCAAGAUUUGACAAUAAACCUUUUAGAGUUUUUGCAUCAUGCCUUGCAAAAUGUGACAUUUGGGCUUUUAAACUACCCUUGUGUUAUAACAUACACAGCAGAACUAAUAUAUCCUUUUUCCACAUGCAUCCUCACUUUGCUGAAAAAAAAAUCCCAGCGCUGAGCAAACUACAAAGAGCCUGAUGAUGCAGGGUGAGGAGUGCCCAGCAACCUCUGUGUGCUCCAGGCACAGCUUUAUCCCAGCCCUCAGUGGGACAGUGCACAUGGAAAUGUGGGAUCUGUUCCUUCCCAAGCCUCAGUGAUGCCUUGCUUUGCAGUUCCUCUUGCUGGUUCUCAUAUCCUGGCAAGAUGCUACAAACCCCACGUGACAAAGAUCAGAAGGAAAUACUUAUUUGAAGAAAGCUCUGUCAUUAGCUGUGCUGAGAUACUUCAAGAGGAAAAAAUGCUAUAAAUUGAAACAACAAAUUGUGAGCAUCUGUGUGCACAUCCCUGUGCGUCCUGGUACCACUGCUGGCACACGGCUCUCAGGAGGAGUUCAGUGAUGGUGACAAAAUUCAAUUUCAAUGUCCCUCUGUUUCUGAGUGGGGUCUGAUGUUUGUUCCCAGAGCUGCUGGUGCCCAUCCCAGCACAAGGCGCUGCCCGCAGGGAUGUGAGGCUGGAAUUGCCGGAGCUCUGCCCCCACCGCUGACUCGGAGCAGCGAUGCUGGCGGCGGAGGGGCAGCGUGGGGCCGGCCGGGGUGCCGGGACGGGAGCAGCGCUGGCCCUGGGGCUCUGCGGGCGCUGGGCACCCCCGGGGGCUCUGCAGGGUUAACCCGUUCUGGGCCGUGCAUCCACACACACUGUCUGCUCACUGCGGAGAUCCAGCCCAUCCCCCGGCCCGUGUGAAACUGCACAAAGCCUCUCCUAAACGUGAAUUUAAAACGCUUUCAAAUUGACAACCUCCUUUUAAAUAAAAACAUUUAUGUUAAGCGAAAGGCAUAUUUGCCUCUACAAAUAAAUGGAAUUAUGGUUCUAAGACGUGACUUAAUCCUGAAGUUCUUAGACUGCACAGUAAGUAGAAAAGAAAGAGGAUUGUUUGGAGGAGCAGGGGUUAGCAGGAUCAGGCUCCAUCUUACAUCUUCCUGCACAUUUUCCUUCUGGCAUUCAAUAUACCUUUCUCAGAACUACCUCUGUUUAUAACAAUGCCAAAGUAACUUCAUGUCUAUUAUCUAAUUGAAAAUAACGAGGCACGGUACACAGUGUGCCCAUCCAGCUUUCCUGCUGGAAAAAUUUGAGGAUUGCUAAACAAACAAAAGAUGCUCUUCCUCCAAAUGUAUUCUUAUGCUAAAGUCAUGUCCUUUUGAAAUUAAUUUCAGGAUUUCCCUCAAAUGUGUCGUAAUUCUUUGUUCUUUUUCUACACUGUUUUCUUUGUGAAAAUGUAUUUUAAAAUCUGCAUGGAGGUUUCAAAGGAUCCGAGAGAAGAUGUUUACAGAGUAAUAUUGCUAUUUGCAUUUGUUGCUUUUCUGAAAAUGGAAUUUCUAAUCAGACAACAUUAAAAUACUUUUGUAUUAUU